rnacentral:lncRNA from 1 species
AUGGACAGAAAGCCAUGUCAGACUGACCUUCUCCCUUACCUUAAAAAGUUCUCACACAGGUUUUUAAAAGGUCUGUGCUUAUCCUGCCCCUGCUUCCCAAACGUGGAGAUAAAUAUGUUCCCUGACAGCCUGACUUUCUCUAAGGCAGCACUCAAUUUAUCACUGCUCCUGGAGCACAUUUUCCAAAACCUGACAAAAACAUCCCUGAAACCUUCAGAGGGGAAAAAUAAACCCUCAUCUCAGGCUGUGUAAAUUACCACCAAGUAUAGCCAUGAAUAAAAUAAGAAUCAAUCCUGAUUCAUGCCUUUGGAACACCCUAAAAACCGGCAGCUCAUGCUCCAAAGGCCAGGACUCGGCAAAACUUCGACCACAGGAAAUUAGGCAGGAAACAGAAAAGAUAUUAAAUAUUCUUCUUUUAUGACACAUUUUUUUUUUUUUUUAAGAAGCCAAUUAUUGGAGAUCUCUGAGUGGAACAGCAUUAAGCCGGCUGUUUGGCUACCUCUGCUAAGACUGCUUCCUCCAAAUUAUGAAUAACUGGGAGAAAAAGACACCAAAAAAUCCCCCAACUAAUGACUUGGAACACAAAAGCAGGCCCAUUGUUGCCAGAAGGGCUUAGUUAAAUGUACUCAGAGUUCCUGAGAGCACAGGAAAACACAUUAGCAAUGAUUGGUUUAGAAGCCUGCUGACUUAAAAGCUCCUAUCCUUAAGGAAAAAGAUCUGGGACAGGUAAUUUGAUGUUUCUGCAUGUGGAGUAGAGCCAAAAUCAGUGCGUGAGAAGGAAAAGAGAGAAUAUGUACAGGUGAUUGAAGGACUUGCCCACUUACACCAUACUCAUUUCUUUACAAAUACUGGAAACACUAUGGANNNNNNNNNNNNNNNNNNNNNNNNUUCAAGGACCACUGGGUGGUUAAGGCAAGAAAGCAACAGACAAGGCUAUAGACAAAGAGCUGAUAAGAUACUGGGUUGGGCAAAAUGUUCACUUGAGUUUUUCUGUAAGAUGUUACAUGUUGACGUAUAUAAACAUGUGGGGGAACAGAACCUGAGACUGGGGAGGGGAAGGGCUGAAUGAGGAACCCUUACAAGAGGGAGAGAGAAGUAAACAGGGAGGGGAAGGGAGAGAGAGAGUGAGAGAGAGAAAACGGACCUGUUCCUUCAAGAUAUGAAAUAAUUCAAACAGGAAGACAUUGUGUUGGGGGGAGAAUCUGCCAAGAGAAGGAGAAAGCAUUCUAGGC